GUUAAUUGCUGGCCUGUAUGAAUGGCUAAACGAGGGCUCCACUGUCUCAAUAAUAAACCUAGUGAAAUUGAGAUGGCGGCGAAGACGCCGCCUAUGAAUUCUAAGACGAGAAGACCCCAUUGAGCUUUACUAUUAACUUGUAUUGCCAGAGCAAAGGGGAGGGGGACCCUACGGGUCUAGGGAAUACCCCGGAUCCGUUUUGCCCCCUGUCCCUAGCUUCAUAAUAAAAUUGUGGAGACUAUGUGGCAAAAGAAAAACAAGGGAUUUAAAAGAACGGGGGGGGGGAGGACCCUUAGGGUCCCCCCCCCGGGAUCCGAAGGGUCCGCCACGCCCCGUCCCGAUUUAUAUGAAAAACCACUCUUUUUAUUAAGAUUACUGUCUAACACCGUACAAGUAAGAUAGUUUGGUUGGGGCGACCGCCUUCGAAAAAGUAUCGAAGGCGCACAUAAGAUUAAUCAGGAGAAGGAUCCGAAGGAUCUUUUUCUCGGGGGCAAUGUCCCAAAAAAAGGAGAUUAAUUUGACUGAGAGGGCAACAACCCGAACAGACGUCAAAGGAUAGACCGGGGGGGGAAUCCUACAGAUUCCUUCCCCCCCUUCUUUUGGCGGGUCAUAGUGAUCCGUUGUUAUAUUGUGGG
rnacentral:rRNA from 1 species